rnacentral:lncRNA from 1 species
UCGUUGGAUAGCGUCGUCGGUGCUUCCUGCGGCGCCUCCUCUUCAUGUAUAGUUAUCUUCUCUCUCCACACCUGACUCGGUGCUACGGUCUCCUCAGGAUAAUCUUUGUUCAAGCUGUAUGUCUUCAGACCUUACUACUUCUCCUUCAUAGUCUGCCCAUCCGUCCUUGAUGAUUUCCCUCCUCUGGUUGCGGUUGCGUCGUCUUCUUCUUGUCCUGACCUGCUUAGAGUCUUCAACUAUAUAGCUAGGGUCAGUAAAAUAGCGGCGUACCUUCUCUGAGGGUAAGUGCAUAUGGACUUCUCUAGUUCCAAUGUAGAUGAUUGCUUUAACGAUGCUGAGGAACGGUCUUCCAAGGAUGAUGGGUGGAUCGUAUUCGUCUUCUCCCAUGUCAAUAACCUG